rnacentral:lncRNA from 1 species
UGACCUAACAGUUAUAAUAGCAGAAUGUAAAAUAUAGAAAGUAAGUGCAGGAAUUAAAGACACCAGAAUUUUAUACUGGUUCAGAUUCAAUGUGAAUCCUAGUCUAGUCCCCUUGGGUUGCAAGGGAGUUCUCUUUAGUAAAUGUGUUUCUCCGAGCACUAUGAAAAUGACUUGGUAGCUCUGUUCCUAUAAUACUCGUCUCUUUUGAUACAAUGCCUCACCAGUAUUGUACUCUUUUUUUCCCUGACUUGUUACACAACAGAUCUUAGAGAACUACAGUGUUUGUUUGCAGUAGAACAAAGAGAGAAUUUUUUUGGUUCGAUCAAAGUAUGUUUGUCUAAGGCUUGAAGCUGAGUAUAAAUACUUUGGUGAAGAUCGUUUGUUGACGGAGGCUUGACAACCCAAGAGAUUUGAUCAUUGGAAAGAGAUUGAUUCUUUCCAAGAAAUAAGAUUGCUUGCCAGUUGCUCUUCCUUGACAGCUUUCCUUCUACAGUUGUUUAUGAUGAAGGUUUACUCCUUGAUUGUUGGUCCUUCCAAAAAUAGCUGCUCAGCUACUCUUCACAGAAUCUUCGAUCUUCCGGAUUUGAAUGUGCUGGUCUUGAUUAAUGUCUUAAGUUAAGCUUGCUUGAUUCUUUCCAUCACAGCUCUCCGUAACCUUUGCUGAUUGAUUUCUUUCCUUAAGCAUCCAGAUUUGCUGAUUGAAUCGUAAUCUUUGCUAAUUGAUUUCUUUCCUUAAGCAUCAAGAUUGACUUUAGCAAUCUUGUAGUAGCUCCUUGAUUCCUUGUUCUUUUGUAAUUGAUUUCCUGCACAAAUAUAUUAUUUGCAUCAUUAAAACUAGAUCUAACAUUCCAUACUUCAUAAACCAUAGAUCAAUCCUAAAUGCCCAAUCAAUCAAUCUGUAGAUUCUCUCAUUUGCCUCUCUUUUGUUACUCCAUGAGUAGGUACAACCUUUUCUUAAAUAAAUAAAAAUAUUAUUAUAGUACUUUUUUUAAUGUUAUAGAUAGAGUAUUUUUUUUUCAUUUUAACAAAUGAGAAUUUUUUCUUGUCAUAAAAUAAAUAAAGUAUUUUUUUUAUAUUUUAACAAAAAAAGUACUUUCUUUUUAUGAUGUUGAAAAAGUAUUUCCUUUCAUUUCAAUAAAAUGAGUACUUUAUUUUCAUGUUGUAGAAAGAGUAUUUUCUUUUUCAACCAAAAAAAGGUUUUUUUCAUUUUAGUUAUGGAGCACAAAUUUCAACAUUAUUUUUGUAGAAAAAAGUAAAGCAACACAUUAGUUCUUUCGGGUGUAUUUGAAUUUUUUUAAAAAUAAUUAAAUUCUUAAAGAAAAUACAUUCCUGAUAAUUAACGUUGGGUAUUUCGGAGGUGGGGGGAAAUGACAAAAAACAUGGGAACUUGGGAGAAGAAGGGUGAGGAAUGUAACAUAAUAAAUUAUUUUCCUAAAAAAUAUUUUCUACUUCCUAACCAAACACUAGAAAAUAUUUCCCGAAAAAGUUUCACUUACCAACCAAACAAGAGAAAACAUUUUCCUUCAUAACAAACACACCCUAAAUUUAAUAAGACAUAGGUGUUAACCUUGAAGAUUAGGUUUAAAAUACGAUAUAGAGAUAAAAAAUUACUACGUAUUUCUUUUUAUCUACUUAAAUUAUAUAUGAUGAACAUAAUUACACAUUAUUUUCACCGAUGAAAAUGACAGAUAUCCAGUAAAAUAUUCGAAAUAAAGACUUAUGUAGUAAUUACUAAUUACUAGCGUGAGUCUUUUGCAAUGCAGAAGAUCAUGUCCCCUCCAACAUAUAAUAUUACUAUUUCUGUUUUUAAUGAACAGUAGUGGUCCGUACGUCUAACCCUACUCUGAGAGUGAUUUUUUAUAUUUAUUUUUUUUAAAUAAAGAAGACAUGUUAUAAAAGCACACUUCUAACAGUAAAAUAGUGGCCUUUUUAAUUCCCAUCCUCUUAUUUUUUCUGAACCAGAUGCCAUUCCAAAAACAUUAGCUAGUAUAUAUACUGAAUCUUUUGACUCGGACAAAGAAAGCAUACAAUUGCAUUAUCCCAUAUCAGUCCACAAACUAAUCGACAACUCGAACAACUUUUUUCCUGAUAUGAACAAUCAGUACUGUUCUAUCAUGUAUGUUCAGAAUCAAGAAAAAUUUCAUAUAUAUUUUACCUAUGUACAUUGAUCACUACCAUAUUUCGUCAUAUUCCAUUUUUGACAUCCACCCUCUUCUUGUAAAUUGUUCUAUGUACCACUUACUACAGAGCUAUAGUCCCAUCAAAGGUCAAACUUGACUAAAUUGGAAAUAAGCAUCAGUAUCAAUUCAUUAGCAUCAAUGAACCCCAAUAUAGAAAAUUAUAGGCGAGACAAGGAUUUGAAGUUUAUAGAGUUAAAAUUUGUCACAGAAUUCAUAAUAACAACAACCCAGUAUAAUCCCACUUAGUGGGGUUUGGGGAGGGUAGUGUGUACGCAGACCUUACCUCUACCCUGGGGUAGGGAGGUUGUUUCCAAAUAAAUCAUCGGCAUCCUUCUCUCCAAGAACUUCCCACCUUGCUCUUGGGGAGACUCGAACUCACAACCUCUUGGUUGGAAGUGGAGGUUGGUUACCAUCAAAGCAACCCCUCUUGUUUAAAUAUUAACAACAUAUACCCAGUGUAAUCUCAGGAAGUAGGGUUUUGGGCAUGGUAGCAUGUACGCUGACCUAAUCCUGACCUUUGUAAAGGUAGAAAGUUGUUAUCAAUAGACGCACCCUCGACUCAAAGAAAAGUUAAAAAGAGACAGAUCAACAAUAAAUAAUAACAACAACAAAAUAAUGAAUUUUUUAAUAACAAAUACAAAAACUACUAAGUUUGUCCGAACCUGCAAAUAAUCGUCUAGCUUAAUUCGUCUAUGUAUGGGAUAAAGAUAAGCGAAUUAAGCUGUGGGGUUUUGACACGUUCUGUGGAAUUUAAAAGGAUGAGUAUAUCAUUCAUCAACGGUCCACCGUCCCACUUACAUAUCUGUUCCUUCCCCUACUGAUCACUGCUUUUUGUGAAAGCAGAAAAACGGCUUUAUUUGGAUGGAUAAGACUUGUGUGUUGAGGAUUGCUUUGGCAUAAUUCCGGCUCAGCUUCUCCAUGUUUCUUGGCAAGUUGCAGUUUGUUUUGACUUUAUUGUAAGGCUAAUUUUGUCAUUUCACAAGUCAGUCUCCGUAUUUACGCAGGGUUUAGAGAAGGGUGUACCCAAGGGGUGUGAUGCACGCUUAUCGAAGCGGUGUCACGUGGUACUGCUUCGUCGGAAAAUUGUACUAAAUAUGUGUAUUAUUACUGUACGGAAACGGAUAAGUAAAAAAUAAUAAUACCACUUGACAUAAAUUGUGUCUUGGUGUGUUGGUUUUGCUCUAGAAGGUCAGAGGUUCAAACCUCAACUUGCGCAUUUUUCUUUUGCAAAUAUUUGAGAGAGCCGUUAUGAUUAAAAAUUGUGAUGAAGUGAAAUUGAACUUAGGAUCUUUUCCAACUUAAGACUCAACAAAACCAAUGAACUAAGGCUAUUUCUUCUCUAAAAGUAUGAUACUCAAAGUUAUAUCUCAAUUCUUCUAUAAAUUUCGACACCGCUUACAAAAAUUCCUGCGUACACCCAUAGUGAUGCAGACAACCUAACCUAAUGCAAGUAUUAGUAGCUGCUUUCACGGCUCAAACACGUAACCUAUAUGACAUACGAAGACAAAAAAUUAGCCGAAACUAUAUCAUGAAGAAACAACCUCUCUAACUUCACAAGGUAAAGAGUACGAUUAAGUUUGCAUACACACUACCCUUCUAGACCCCACAAGAGUUUGUAUACACAUUAUCUUUCUCAAACUACGCUUAUGAAAUUACAUUGGAAUCGUUCUUGUUGUUGUAUUUGUUUCUGGUUCGAAUUCCUGUGGAGCAAUGACGUUAGGUUAUCUAAAUUCCAUAUAUUGGUACUUGUUGAUUUUCAAUGGAGCCUCAUGGGACAUUUAAUCAUUUGUUUAAUUAAUAAAAACCAUCUAAGGUGGCUAAAUUAAAUUUAUUAAACUAAAAGAAAAUAAUAUGACAUCGCAGGAAACUAAUAGCCUGUUUGGCCAAGCUUCUCAAGAGGCUAAAAGUGCUUUUUUUCCCAAAAACAUUUUUUUUCCCUAACUUGAGGUGUUUGACCAAGUUUAUUUGGAGAAAAAAGUGUUUUUGGGAAGAAGUAGAAGCAGUUUCAGAGAAGCAAAAAAAAGUAGUUUCUUUCCAAAAGCAGAAGCAGUUUUGGCUUUUCUUCUUACCUAAAAUACCCUUAACAAAAUAUAGUAUAUACCAAAAUAACCCUUAAACAUAAUACUUAGGAUAUUAAUUUAUAAAUAUUUCUUCUUAUUUUUAGGAAAACUUUUUAAUAUAUAAUGACUUUAGGGAUGAAUGCUUUAUAUUUGUUGAAGGAAUUUUAAUAUAUUUAACUUUAAUAUUUUUUUUCGGAAAAUAUUUUCUAGGGAUGAGAUUAUUUAUUUACUUAUAAUAUUAAUUAUUAAGUAAAUCUAUUCAUGUCCUUAUUCGUAAUUUGACACUUAAAAGCACUUUCUAAAAAGCUUGGCCAAACACAAAUUAUUUCUCAUAGUACUAUUCAGACUGAUUAGCCAAACACAAACUGCUUCUCUAUAAAAAUACCUUUUUCAAAAGCACUUUUGAAAAAAACACUUCUCAAAAUAAGAUGAUUUUUCCAGCUUGGCCAAACAGGCUAUUAGUCGAAACCCCUAAACAUCAAUCUUUGAACAAGGCGGGAGACCCUUAAUUCUCUUUAAAUUGACUUAUACCAAACACCAAGCUCAUAUUUUCUAGUGCUUCCUCUAUUUGGGACAUCAAAUGUCAUAUCAAAAUGUGGAACGUUGACUGCAAUAUUUUUUUAAUUAUCUUAUAGUAUAUACUAACAAUGUCUCAGGUUACUAAUUCCACUUAAUUAACUUAAUUAAUAUAGACAGUUACAUAUAAUUAUUUUUAAGUGACCCGGUGAUAUAAACAUUCCAUUGCAAGUACAUAUAUGUUAAACUCUAAAAAGUUGAACUAAUUAUUCGUAUUACUAGGAGCUCGUUAUGUUAAAUUGUGGCAAACGUGCCAAGUGACCUCCCUAUCACCCUUAACUUAGAAAAUCCAAGGUUUUCACAAGUAACUGUCAUUAGAUUCAAAUUGCAGAAAAUCAACUAGCAGAUACCCUAACAAAAAGAAGCCUAAAUUGUAACGUGGAUAGAAAAUUUCCUGCCUCUUUUCUGUGAAAAUAUAUGUAGACACCUAAAUGGGGUAAUUGUGAAAUUGACAUUUGCUUGCAACCCCAGUAUUUCCAAAGUUAACUGCUACUACUUGAUAGAGAAAAAAGCAUAUGACAUAUAAUAUUUAUGUAUCGCCAAAAGAUAGAAAUGCAUGUCAGAAUUGUUAUUGAAGUCAUAACAUCAUGUAGGUCAAUACCAUAGAAAGCACAUGCUUUGUUGCAGGCUAUAUAGUCAGAGGCGAAUGUAGAGUUGUAACGCUGGGUUCAACUGAGUCCAGUACUUCCGGAAGCAUAAAUUUAUGUGUAAAAAAAUCAUUAAAAUUGUGAUAAAUAGUAGGUUUGAACCAUAAUUUUAAAAAUACAAUGGGUUCAUGACAAAAUCUUUUUAGGAUUGAACCCAUGGAGCUUAAAUACUGCAUUUGCCCCUGUAUAUAGCUCCCACUUGCCAAGUUGCUUGCUUUCAAGAUCUUAACACAUGAUACUACUAUCUAGUGAUGGCAAAACGGAUAAAAAUAAUAAUUAUCCAUUUAUGCUAUUCUCUAAAAAACAGAUUGGAUAAUAAAUUUUUUAAAAUGGUUCAAUAUUAAUAAGAUCCGUAUUAACCACUUAAAAAAAUAGAUACUUAACGGAUAACCAAUGUGUGUGGCUUUUUAAAUAAAUUUUCGCUUUGUGGAUAAUUAAUGUGUUUAAUUUUUACAUUUGUAAAAACUUAAAUAGGGGGUUCCUCUAAUUUGGAAGACUAAAAAUUCUCUCAAAAGUGAUCUCGUAUGUUCCCCUCCAAUGUACUAAUCUCAUAUUAAUAUAGGAGGUAAGGGAUAAUGCCAAAACCCCAUCACCACAGGUCAACAAGCCUGGGUGACGUGAAUGGCUUCCAAAAAAAAAGUGAUCUACAAGAAGCUAGGGAUAAUAUAGAUACCCAUAUUAUCCACCGGUUAGCCCAUUUUCUAUCCGCAUCAAAUAAGGACGCGUCAGAUAUUUUAUUCGUUUUUAUAUUACCCAUUUUAAACUCGCCCAUAUCCUACCUGACCCGCCAGUUUACCACCCCUGCUACUACCUACCAACUGCACCUUAUCUCCAUCUUUAUAAAGAGAAUUGAGGCUCCAUUAUUUCUCUCAAUUUUGAGUCAUAGAUGUUUUGGACUAAGAGGGGAAGGCAGCAGUAUUGAACUUACUAUGGACCACUUGGUUUACCAGAUUUGAUCACAAUACCUGUAUGCUGGCAGAUAUAGCUCGCUAGAGUCUCAUGACCUUCAUAAUGUUUAGCACUCCUAAUUUUUAAAGGAUUUAAGUUAUAUAUAUACACAAAUAUAAAAAAUCUGUAUACUAUCAUUUGCAAUUUAAUGACAUAUCGAAGGUUAUUAUUCUUAUUUUUAGAUUAUAUAUCAUGUCAAGAAUGGAGCUUGAAGAUUAGUUAUGGGUUCGACCAAUCAAUCCCAGUAGCAUUAGUCCAAACUCUAUAUUUCUAACUUCAAAACCGAGGAAUCGAUCCAUAUUCUUUUGCAUAAAUAAUUCGACAUUCAAUCAGGUGUACCAUCUAAUCAUUUUGAAGUAUAGGAGCCACCAGAUAAUAUUAGAUGAAUUUUUACACAAAGUAUACCUAGUUUGGUGGAAGGACUAACACCUGAAACCAUUAUCCUAAAGUUUAAAACUCAUAAAGCAUGUGCAUCAAGUUUAUUAUGAAGAAUCACUUAUUAAUGCUGUGAACUUUACCUAAUGGUGUAAAUCUUUUUACUUUUUCAAGUAUAAAUUCGCUCUUUAAGUGGCAUAGGCCUUCUAUAUCACUGUAAGGGGUCGUUUGGUUAGGAAAUGAUUAAUUAUUUCAAGAUUAGUUAUACUAUGAUUUUAUCUCAAUCAAGCAUGAGAUAAAUUCGUUAUAAAUUUAAUUCCGCAAUUAAUUAUCCUUUAUCUCUCGUACCAAACUAGCCAUAAAAGUUUUAUGUGCAAUCAGAAUUUGUACUCAUUUUCUAAUGCAUGAAAAACUAAACGCAGCCUGAGAAAAGAAUGGGUGGCUAAAAAAAGGAAAAACCAUAAAUAAAGAGAAGUGUGAUAAAAAUCUUGAAAGAUAUGGAGAAUUUUGCCCACGAGCUCAUGGUCAAGAGUACAAAUCAAAUAAAGCUGCAGUAGGAUCUUUUAGAAGGAGAACUGUGGGCGGUAAAAUGAAUGAUAUGCAGAUGAAUGGUUCAACUUGUAGGAUCCAGGCCAGACAGUACUUACCAAUUAAAAUCACGCGCAGAAGAUACUGAUAACCACCAAGAUCUUGAAUGAUUGGAAAAAAUCAUAUCCUCCAUUCAUGUCAGUCUAAAAGUUAACUCCCCAUUUACUGUAGUAAAUAUAUUACUGCGCCGUACAUCUUUUCUAACUCCACUCUUGAAUGGUUAAAGAAAAUUUAAUACAAGUUCUAUAUAGUAUAUACUAUUGAUUUUACGAUUAUAAGUUCUAUAUCCAUAUACAGAGGCGGAUUUACAGUAUAAAAUAUGGUUCACGUGAACCCGUGGUUCUCGGGUUAAACUAUAGAUAUGAUGUAUAUAAUUUGACAAAAAUAGGUAUAUAUAUUUGAUGGAAUCCAUGGUAAAAAAGAUGAAGUAGUUCACUAGUUUUGGUCUCUUAUUUCCAAUAGCCUUUAGGGGAUCAAAUUCCCAACCAACUUUUUUGUUUAAUUUUUUUUAAAAAAGUAAUGGUGAACCUAUCCUCUGGAAAUUCUAGAUCCGUCUCUGUCCAUAUACAUACAAAAAACAUUUUACACCGUCAGAUCAUGAAAAAAUAAUUGCGGGUAUUUAUUUAUAAAACAUUAAAUGAUAAUCUUUAAGAAAAAAGGAAGUUAUCUUCUUAAAAGGGUCUAAAAUAUUUACAUUUUUAGUACAUAUCCAAAUAUCAAAUAUUUCUCGUAACAUGAAAGUAAAGAGUACCCAUAGAGUAGAAGACAAUUAGUUGAUUUUACCUAAUGAUUGAAAAGCAGGGGAACCCUCUUUUCUCUAUUUAGUGAAGAGAUAUUUUUCCCAUUUUUUGCUUUUAAGGAUAUGUCCUAACGAUUAAUGAAAAACAAUUAUCAAUCUGCCUAAAUCUUAAUAGGAAAUUAUCAGUGAACGCAUAAACUAAUCUAAAUAGCACUAGUUGAAUUUUAUCUCAACCAAACAUAAAAUAAAUUUAUCUCAAAUUUAAUUUUAAAAUUAAUUAUUAUUUAUCCCUGCAAAGUUAAGAGUGUAUCUUUGGCUGUCCUUUUACCUAAACUCAACUCGUGAAAAACUGUUAUAACAAAUUAAAGUAGAGAGUACACAUAUAGUAGGGACAGGUGUACUGGGUUAACCCUUUUUACCAAGAAUACCUUUCCCUCAAUCUUCUCUCACUUCCUAUUUUCCUAUAAAUGGAGCCUUCUGCACUCCUACUCUUCAAUAGGUUAACUCCUUCAAAUAUCUAUUUCUCACAUAGCCCUAGCACCAUUGUCUUCCUUCAACAACAACCCCCCCCCCCAACCAAACCCCCCUCCCCCCAAACCCUAAUUUUUUUAUUUUUCUUGGUCCUGUCUGAGAAAUUAAAUGGGUACUGGAAAACGUAAAUUUAGGGUAAGGAGUAUAGAGGAAGUGGGCAAAAAAGGGUGACAAUUGUUGACAGAAGAUAGAGAGCACUAAUGAUGAUAUGCUAAGUAAAUGUAGGGGCAAAAGCAUCUCAAUUCAUUUGUGCUCUCUAUGCUUCUGUCAUCACCUUCGGCCAACUAUCCCUCUCUUCUCUUAACUUCAUUUAAUUUUCAUCUUUUCAUUCUAUUAUUUUCUUGAAAUUUAUUUCAUAUUUUGUAUAUGUAUUUUAUGUACAUAGUCAAAUUCUAUAUGUUUCUCAUCCCAUGACAUAUUUCUUUGAUCUGCUAGUAUAUAGGUUCUCAUUUUCUGGAAUUUCUCUAAGAUGAAAGCAAAAAUUCUAUAAAAAUGAAAGAUUUUGAAAUCUAUUUGCAUGAUUUACAUAAUUGAAGAGUCCUUUUGUUAGAAGUAAGAUCUGAAAGUGAAAGUUAUUGCUCAUGAUUUACCAUAAUUCAAUUGUUUAUAUAUUUUUCUCUCUAUAUUUCACCAGAUUAUUGACUUUCUAACUGUUUGAUUAAUUCUUGAAUUCUAUACUUGCUCUAUCUUGUGAGUUCACCUAUGCUUUUGCAGCUAUUUCUAGAUCCAAAAAUCCUCCUUUGCCAAGCUAUCAAAGGACACUUCUGAGGAAUAAGAUGUUAAUUAAGCUACAUUUACAUGUAAACCCUCUACUCUUUCUCACUUUUGUAAUAGUUCAAGUUAUAAUCAAAAUCUAAUGUUAUAUAUAUGUGUGUGUGAGAGAGAGAGAUAAGCCAGGAAGUUCAUCAAAUAGACUUAACAAACUAUUGUCUAUUAAAUUAAGCUUUUUACUUAUCUGCAUUUAGAGUUUAAUUAGAGAGACUAAUUAUCCACUACCUAUCGACUCUAUUAAAGUACUACUUUUUUAUGUCUUUGAUAGAUAUGUUUCCUAAAGUAAUAGGCACUACUGGUCCUAUGGCAUAUGAUAAUGGACUUUGUAAGGCUAAAACAUCAUGUGAUGUUUAAGGAUUUAAUGUAUUCACAUGUUUGUUAUAGGCAUCCAAACAUUAAAGGUUUAACCAAACAAAAAUCUGGUGAGACAAAUGAAAAGCCGAUCAAUCAGAGGAUUUGUUAAAUAUAUAGUCUUUAGAAAAGCAUGAAAGUAACAAAAUUAAAUGGAAAACAAUAAGGCUUAAUAUCUGGACAAUUAGUAAAUAGAGUAGAAGUAAAAGAAGCUAGGUACGUACACAUGAUAAUUUUAUGCUUAAUUAUCAUCACAUGUAAACUAUUUUCUUCAUAUUUUACAGCAAGUUACUUGUGUGUUGUUGAAAUAAAAAAGUACUCCUAAAGAAAAUUAAACUGAAGUAAGAAAUUAAAGAGCAUAAGACAUCAACAUAUUUCCAUCCAGAAGUUAAAAACAAUGACAAAUUUUCCCUUUCUGUCUAUUCAGAUAGUAAUGUCAAAGAAAACUGUGACUUAUAGAGUGGUUUAUUUAGCAAAAUAGAUGGGAAAAAGCUAACUAUUUGAACUUCUUUACCACUCAUAUAAGUGGAGCUAACACAGAAACUGGUUUGAGUUCUUUACUACUCAUAUAAUUGGGAGCUAAUAGAAGCUGGUUGGAGUUCUUUUACUACUCGUAUAAUUGGAGCUGAAAUACAAGUUGGUUUGACAGAAAGCAUAUAUAAUACUAAAUGUUUGAUUCUUGGGCAAAAUAGAAGCUGGUUCGAGUUCUUUACCACGCAUGAAGGUGUCCCGUGCAGCUAAACUAGUUAUACUCUUGGGCAAAGUUUACAUACAAAUUCCAUCCUUAAACCUGUGUUUUAGUUUAGUUUCUAUUGUUGCUUUUCAUUUUCUUGAGCUGAUGGUCUAUUGGAAACAGCCUCUUUACCCGUACAAGAUAGGGGUAAGGUCUGUGUACACACUACUCCUCUCCAAGUCUCUUUUUUCAUUUUAUUGGGAUAAAAGAUAGGUUAGUUGUUUUAUUUCUCAUCAUUCUAAUCAACACUAAAGUUGUGAUAUUAUGUACCUUUGUUCAUCUUUCCAACAAACCCCCAUAAUAUACAUAGGGGAGCUGUACAUUAUUGGAGCUAUAUAUAGUAAGGGACUCCUGAUGAAGUGAAUAUUAUUUCUGAAAGAAUACUUGGAUGGAGCAUUUCAAUUGAUAAUCCAAUUUUGACAAAUGAAGAACCCUCAUUACAUAUUGUCUUAAAACAGUUCAGCUCUUGCUGAAAUCCAGUGUUCAAUGUUUUUAGGGUUCAUUAAAUUCAACUCAAUAUUCAACCAAGUGCACCAUUCAAUCUUUUUGGAGCAGAGAUCCCAACAGAUAAUAUUAGACUAAUUCUAGAAAAUACGUGUAUAAAAUACCCAAUUUAAGGUUGAGACUAUGGUUCACGUGUCCCAUUUUCUGUUGGAGCAGGAGUCCCAAUAGAUAAUAUUAGACUAUCCCACUUUAUAGAUGUGUGCAAAGAUAGCUAUGAGAUAAAUAAGGUAAAUGCAGAAUUAAGCUGAGAGUCCUAUUACAUACAUAUAUAUGGUCAAAGCUAAAUGAAUUUGAAGCAUUUACUUUUCAAUAUCUAUAUAUACUAUUGGUGAUGAGUCUCUUGUGUACAUUUGGAUUGCACGUCACAAGCCGAUGUACUCUCACACUCUAUGUCAAUUAUUAAUUAGACAAAGAUAAUAUAUAUGUUUAAGAAAGCAUGAAAACUCAAGAUAUUCCAAUUGAAUGAUUAAAAAACUAGGGGGGAAAUUCUCCCAUGGAGAAUGAAGGAGAAGGUUAAAAUUGUAACAAAAAAACUAAUGUUUGCUAUACACCCUAUUGGGUAAAGAUUUGUUUUUGCACAGUGGCAUAGGAAAAAAUUUCAUUACACUAUUACUAGUAUUAUAUAACUUAAAUCCUAUUGAAUUCAGCCCACAUCAUCAUUGAGUGGAUAUUAAUUCUUUAUUAAUAAGAUGUGGAAAAAAUGCAUGUGUGUAUUAGAAAAAGAAUUCUUAUCGGCUAUUGGCCAAACAUUUGGGAGCAACUAGACAAAAUGGUCUUUCCAAGAUUAAUUAGAAGACUAAAUUUGACAUAUUCCUAAAGUUAUUAUUACCUCCCAACACAUAGCUUAUGAUUGGCUUGCUCUCCAUAUAUAUUGGAGAACAAAGUUUUGUCAAAUUGAAUUGUGUCACUUUAUUUUAUUUAUCUAUAAUAAAAGGGCAAAAGAGUCGUAAUCCUGUUAACCCUGCAUAAGUACCCCAUUCACAUAUCUAGUGAUUUCCAUUCUAAAUUCAGAUCCUUUAUGCUAUAUGGACAAUCGGAUGGUUUUGUGCUGCCAAUUGAUUAGGAUUUAUUCAUCACAUUCUAAUACCACGAGCUAGGUUCUUUAACUUUUUAUUUUAUUUUAUUUUUUAUUUUAUGGAGUAAUAUUUCCUUUCAACUUGUGUUGCUGUUUCUUUUUAUAUCUUUUUUAAGACGAUGGUCUAUUAAAAAUAGUCUCUUUACCCUGUACAAUAUAGGAAUAAAGUCUGUGUGCCCACUACCCUCUCGAUAUCCCACUUGUGGAAUUAUUUUGAGAUGUUGUUGUUGUUGGAGUAAUAUUUCCUUGUUUUGAUAGUAGUAUUAGAUUUGGGAAUAUUGUUGUCUGGUUUUGGUAAAAUUUUUAAAAUUUCUCCAUAUUUGAAAAGACAUGAGUACAAUAUGCGCCGACACAGCAAAUCAAACUAGUACAAGAGGGAGAAUUUCAUGUCCAUGUCAUGUGGUUAGCCAAUCAGUAGCCGAAAGCUGUAACCAUGGAUUAUGACAUCUCAUCGAAUAACAUUAUCACUAACCUUCAUUUGUAAUUGUCUCUAAAUAACGUACAUCUCCCUACUUAUCUUAUUAAUGAUCUCAUUUGAGGAUGAAUAUCAGAUACUCCAUGAUUCAAUUUAUAUAAACCUAUUUCUUUUUUGGUUCGUUUAAUUAGAAAAAAAUUCCUUUUUAAAAUUGGAUACAAUUUAACUUUAACUUUUCAUUUUAUCUUUGAUAUAGCCCAAACUUUACCGGGAAUGUUAUGAAAAUAUUCCCUUAGUAAGAAGCUUUUAUAAUCAAAUAGAUAUUAGUAUAUAUGACAUAUUUAAAAAAUCACAAGUUUCAAAUUUUUUUAUUUUUUAUUUCUCCAUCGGUAUUUGGUACCCACAUUGGGCCUCGACUAAUCCGGAUUGGAAGUCCCACAUUGGGGGUAAAGCGCUCCCUAAAAAAGGUGACUACAUACCCAAAGGUUCGAACUCGAGACCUCUGGUUAAGGAGGAAGGAGUACUUACCACUCCACCACAACCCUUGUAGGUAAGCUUCAAAAUUCUUACAGCUACAUAUGUUAUGACACAUUUAAUAUUACAAGUUUUAAAGCUUUGAAAAUUUCUGGUGAAAGAAGGAUCGUGCAUCUGUCUCUCUUAACCACGUUUUGUUUGAUGGCCGUCAAUGAAUAUAUUUUGCUUCAAGAUUUAUAUCUUACUUUAGUAUCUUAUUACAUCUUCCUAAACUGGAUGCAUGCAUAUGUUAAGUGUAGCCGUAAUAACUAGAUUCAAGAUUAUCACAAUUUUGAUCUAGAUUCACUUCUACUGUGUAAGUGUAGCCAGAGAAGUUUGUACUAAUAUCCUGUUAACGGCUGUGAUGUGACAGUAAGAAUAUAUAAUCUUGUCAAAACUUUAGCAUCGAGUCUUUGAUAUAUUAAAAUUAGAACUCGAGAAAAAAAGCUGUACCCAUUUCAAGGAAACAACUAAACACACAACACACGCAUACAGAUAAAGAAAAAAAAAAUGGAGGAAGAAUCUGCAUAAUUAUUUCAAGGAAGGGAAAGUUUCUUACCAGAUGAAGAGUGGUGAAAUUAACCUUCAGAAGGGAGAAAAAGCUUGGUUUGCUUAUUUUCAGUCAACAUUUACCAUUCAUCUUUUUUGUUCUUUUUCAUCUCCGCAAUGACAGCUGCUGAACAUAUUCUUGAUAAUAUUUGAGGUUAGAGCAGGCCGGUGAAGACGGAAAAAAGCAAAAGCCAAGUGAAAGUCUGAAAAACUCAAUUGAAAUGUCAGAAUCUAAAAAAUUGGCGGAAUGUUAGUCGGUCCAUUUGUGUGGACAGGAAUUUAUGUAGUGGCUGUCUUACUUUCAAGCUGUAACUAGUGAUUAAUAAAGUGAUAAAAUUUAUGAG